CUUCUUUGACUAGGGUUUGGAGGAGAGAAAAAAAAGGGUCCGAGGAGAAACCGCAGAUGAGGGCGAUGAUCACAGAUUUUAAUUCUUUUUGAUUCUUUUCCUCCUGUUCUCUUCUCCUUUUGAGAAUCAAAUACAUCGAUCGAGACAGCUAUUAUCAUAACUUUGUUUGAUUUAUUCACUCCACCCAGACCCAUAACAAACCCCAUCAAAUUCCCCAAAUCCAACCGUCCCCCAAUUUCAAUCUCCAUCAAACCUAAACUAAUAGGAUUAAACAUUCUCCAAUGAAGCAAAUGUAUGACAUCUGUUCCCAUCUACCAUCUCCAUUAUCACAUUUAAAAUCAUCUCUAAACCAAAUUUCAAAGUAUGAUUUUGUUUGCUUAAAUCAUGUUUUGUUUGUUUCGUAAGAUUGGGAUUGCUAUUUCAUUCACUGUAGAAAAAAUUAAUUUCAUUUUAUGUUUCUCCUUUGAUGUUGGAGCCCUGAAAACUUAUCGAGGCCUCAUGAUUUUUAUGUUUGAUUUGUUUGAUUGACAAAAACCCCUCAUGAAUUAAGUCAAUUUAUAUAUACGCAAGGAUUGGAAAUGAAAAUUUCUGAAAUUUUGGUACACCUUAACAAUGGGUUAACCUCUUUACUGCUGCUACACUCUCGCAAGACUAACGCAGUGUAACUGUCUGUGGAAAUGCAUAGCAGAAAAGAGUGCAAUCUGUAUAGAGACUAGAGAGCUGUAGACCAAGUGAAAUUACAUAGAGCCAUACAGGACUGUUAAUAACCAAUAUUGCAGGUAACAUUUUUAUUUUGUCCACCUUAGUAAUUCGAGUGACCGUAUUAGGUUGUAGAAACAUAAAUUCCUACAUUUCUUGCAAUUCAGUAUUUACUCAUUUGGCGGUAUUUACUCAUUUGGGCGGCUAACUCAACUAACAUCUAAUUAGAUGAGUCUGUUACUGAGCAUCUGACUAUUCCAUUGAAUAUGAUUGAGUAUUUUGGUGUGCAGUGCAAACAGUUAAAAACUUUUUUUGUAUUCCAAUUGUUAAUUUGGUUAUUAACUGAUCUUCACAACACCCAUUAUUUUUCAAGAAAAGAGACAAGACUUAAACUAAUGUAAUAGGCUUGGUUUCCAAAGUAAUGAGCUUUAUACUUAGUAGCAACAAGAUGUUUGAGCAUUCUCAUGACACCAACCGUGUCAUCUAGGUAUGUCCGAGUGUGCAUGCAAAUAGGAAUGGAUUCCUAUUGAUUCUCAUGACACCAAGCGUGUCAUCUAGGUAUCUUUGAUCAUUCCUAUUGAUUAGAAUGCUGUUAGUACUAAUGUCUUCUUACAGAAAAUGCAGCUGGCUAAAACAACCAAAAAAAAAUUUGCUUUGAAUGCGUCGUCAUUGAUCAUGACCCUGAAGAUAACCUAGAUAAGGAUUCUGAAGAUAGGGAUUUGAAUGGAACUAAUAAAGAAAAUAGAAAUUCAGUUGUUAUAAGUAGAGUGGAGAAAAAGUGAACGAAGAGAGGUUUGGUAUAAAAUUCAAGACAGAGAAGGUAUGGGUGGUAAUAAUGUUCAGACUUCAGAGUAAGUUUCUACCAAUAGGAGGGGUUCAAUUGCUGCUGCUAUUGUGGUUGUAGCUGCAGAGAUCUGGGGAAGCUCUAGGUGGCAUGGUCAGGCAGCUUUCGAUGGAUCAGUUUGACUCCACAGAGCGCCAUAAGGGCUAAGAAUCUAUUGGAUGGACAAUUAUAUAUCAUUAUGGUGGCUUGGAAGCCACAAAUGAUCGAAGCAGAUGACUACAUAAUGAAAUUGGCUAGACAUGCAAAGCUAUCAGAUCAUCUUAUGAUAACGAAAUUCACCAGAUGCACAUGCCGGAUGCUUAUAUGUGGGUUUGUUUGAACUUGGUUGAUUUUUUGCUUCGCAUAUACUCUUUCUUACUAAGAAGAAGUGACGGGAGUGGUAAUACUUGCUUAAUUAGUAUCUCCUUCAGUUCAUUUGCCUUCUGUAAUUUUACUCAAGUCGGUUUUUGUUGUCCAAAUAGUCCUAUAUGGGACUGUUUGUUUUGAGUUAAUUUUCGAUUACGUCUAACAUUAUUAUUGUUUACCUCAUUUUUCUUAAUUGAUCUGCGUUGAAAAGCAUAAUGAUGUUCAAGGUCUGAAUGUUUGUAUCACUCUUUAUACCAAAUGAUCCAUAUCUGUAGUAAUUGACAUCAA